rnacentral:rRNA from 1 species
UACGAAGGGGGCUAGCGUUGUUCGGAAUUACUGGGCGUAAAGCGUGCGCAGGCGGCUGCUCAAGUCAGGGGUGAAAGCCCGGAGCUCAACUCCGGAACUGCCAUUGAAACUGUAAGACUUGAGGAUGAGAGAGGUGAGUGGAAUUCCCAGUGUAGAGGUGAAAUUCGUAGAUAUUGGGAAGAACACCGGUGGCGAAGGCGGCUCACUGGCUCAUAUCUGACGCUCAGGCGCGACAGCGUGGGGAUCAAACAGG